rnacentral:rRNA from 1 species
UACGGGGGGGGGUAAGCGUUGUUCGGAAUUACUGGGCGUAAAGGGCUCGUAGGCGGCCAACUAAGUCAUACGUGAAAUCCCUCAGCUUAACUGGGGAACUGCGUGUGAUACUGGAUGGCUUGGAUUUGGGAGAGGGAUGCGGAAUUCCAGGUGUAGCGGUGAAAUGCGUAGAUAUCUGGAGGAAUACCGGUGGCGAAGGCGGCAUCCUGGACCGGCAUUGACGCUGAGGAGCGAAAGCUAGGGGAGCAAACGGGG